rnacentral:rRNA from 1 species
AGAGUUUGAUCAUGGCUCAGGAUGAACGCCGGCGGUGUGCCUAAUACAUGCAAGUCGAACGCGUUGGCCCAACUGAUUGAACGUGCUUGCACGGACUUGACGUUGGUUUACCAGCGAGUGGCGGACGGGUGAGUAACACGUAGGUAACCUGCCCCAAAGCGGGGGAUAACAUUUGGAAACAGAUGCUAAUACCGCAUAACAAUUUGAAUCGCAUGAUUCAAAUUUGAAAGAUGGCUUCGGCUAUCACUUUGGGAUGGACCUGCGGCGCAUUAGCUUGUUGGUAGGGUAACGGCCUACCAAGGCUGUGAUGCGUAGCCGAGUUGAGAGACUGAUCGGCCACAAUGGAACUGAGACACGGUCCAUACUCCUACGGGAGGCAGCAGUAGGGAAUCUUCCACAAUGGGCGCAAGCCCUGAUGGAGCAACACCGCGUGAGUGAAGAAGGGUUUCGGCUCGUAAAGCUCUGUUGUUAGAGAAGAACGUGCGUGAGAGCAACUGUUCACGCAGUGACGGUAUCUAACCAGAAAGUCACGGCUAACUACGUGCCAGCAGCCGCGGUAAUACGUAGGUGGCAAGCGUUAUCCGGAUUUAUUGGGCGUAAAGCGAGCGCAGGCGGUUUGAUAAGUCUGAUGUGAAAGCCUUUGGCUUAACCAAAGAAGUGCACCGGAAACUGUCAGACUUGAGUGCAGAAGAGGACAGUGGAACUCCAUGUGUAGCGGUGGAAUGCGUAGAUAUAUGGAAGAACACCAGUGGCGAAGGCGACUGUCUGGUCUGCAACUGACGCUGAGGCUCGAAAGCAUGGGUAGCGAACAGGAUUAGAUACCCUGGUAGUCCAUGCCGUAAACGAUGAGUGCUAGGUGUUGGAGGGUUUCCGCCCUUCAGUGCCGCAGCU